CCUUCCUCCCUCCAUAUUCCUCCCUCUGUCAUCUCUCUUCCUCCCUCCAUCUUCUCUCUUACUCCCAUUCAAACCUCCAGCAACAUCUUACCACCUUUCCCUCUAUCUCUCUUUCCCUCGUCAUCUCCCUCUGUGCCUCGUCAUCUCCCUCUGUCCCUCGUCAUCUCUAUCUUUCCCUCGUCAUCUCCCUCUGUCCCUCGUCAUCUCCCUCUGUCCCUCGUCUUCUCUCUCUGUCCCUCGUCAUCUCUCUCUUUCCCUCGUCAUCUCCCUCUGUCCCUCGUCAUCUCUCUCUGUCCCUCGUCAUCUCCCUCUGUCCCUCGUCAUCUCUCUCUGUCCCUCGUCAUCUCCCUCUGUCCCUCGUCAUCUCUCUCUGUCCCUCGUCAUCUCCCUCUGUCCCUCGUCAUCUCCCUCUGUCCCUCGUCAUCUCCCUCUGUCCCUCGUCAUCUCUCUCUGCAUCCUUCUGUCUCCUUCCAUCCCUCUCCCCCUCACACCUCAAGGGACAUAUUUAUCAAAUUUAUCUCUCAACAUGCUUCCUUAACCUUACUGUAAUCCCCCUCUCUUUAUAUCUCUCCAUCUCUCCCUCAUCCCUCCAUCUCAUCCUCCAUCCUUCCAUCUCUUCCUCCAUCCAUCUCUCACAACCAGCCCCAUAAUAUAGAGAUGAGUACUGCCUUAUCACAACCAGCCCCAUAAUAUAGAGGUAAGUACUGCCUUAUCACAACCAGCCCCAUAAUGCAGAGGUGAGUACUGCCUUAUCACAACCAGCCCCAUAAUAUAGAGAGGAGUACUGCCUUAUGACAACCAGCCCCAUAAUGCAGAGAUGAGUACUGCCUUAUCACAACCAGCCCCAUAAUAUAGAGAGGAGUACUGCCUUAUGACAACCAGUCCCAUAAUGUAGAGAUGAGUACUGCCUUAUCACAACCAGCCCCAUAAUGUAGAGAUGAGUUCUGCCUUAUCACAACCAGCCCCAUAAUGUAGAGAGGAGUACUGCCUUAUGACAACCAGCCCCAUAAUAUAGAGAGGAGUACUGCCUUAUGACAACCAGCCCCAUAAUGUAGAGAGGAGUACUGCCUUAUGACAACCAGCCCCAUAAUAUAGAGAGGAGUACUGCCUUAUGACAACCAGCCCCAUAAUAUAGAGAUGAGUACUGCCUUAUCACUGACAAUGGGAAAUGAAAGGUAAAUAUUUGUAAAGAAAAUGAAAAAUAAGUAACUUUGUUAGACAAUAGUAGGUGUAUAAAUGAUUUAUUAUAUAUUUAAUAUAUGUACUUAGAGAUCCAGUUGUUUCUUUAUAAUGGUCAGUAUAUUGUGUAAACAAUUAUUAUGAGACUUAUGAAACCAUUCAAAAUGCAUGCAAGUCUGAGAUGUCUCUGACUCCUCACAGUAGAGGUUGGCAGCCAUUUAUACAAGGAAUUGAUUUUUAAUUCCAUUUCAAGCGGACCUUCCCAAGUCUGAGCGUGGCUCUACCUGACUGAUCUGUUAGAUGAACUGAUGAAUAAUAUUCACAACUCUAAAUGUAAUUUGUGUCUAGAUUCAACAGGGAUGUUGGCCCAUGUUGACUCCAAUGCUUCCCACAGUGGUGUCAAGUGUCAAGGCUGGAUGUCCUUUGGGUGGUGGACCAUUCUUCAUACACACGGGAAACUGUUGAAUGUGGGAAAACCCAGCAGCGUUGCAGUUCUUGACACACUCAAACCGGUGCGCCUGGCACCUAUUACCAUAACU
rnacentral:lncRNA from 1 species